GCCAAGUGACCAGGCGGUGGCGGCGGCGGCUCUGCCGAGGUGACAAUGUGCUAGGAGCCCCGCUCCGUCUCCUGCGCCUCCUUGGCCUGGGCGCCUCCUGGCAGCGCUCUCCGAGCCUCGCGGCCAGUCGCCGCGCUAUGAGGGAGCGUCUCCCGGGCUGGCCGAGGCCGGGGCCGCCUCUCUCUGCUGGCCGAGAAGUGUGAAGAGAGGCGCGGGCGGGCGCCGGGGCUGCGCGCGGCGCGGGCUCCAGGUGAGCGCGGCUCUCGGCGCAGCUGGCCACUAGCGGGAUUGGAUUCAGGCAGCAUCCCGUGAGCGGACCGCCGAGCUCUCUCCGCGGGAUCCUCAGGCACCAUACCAGAUGCAUUUUGUAGGAGUAUUUUGAAGAUGAAUGUUUCCAAAUCAUUUUGAAAUAGUCAAGUGCCAUAUACAUUUGUUUAUAUGGUGGAUUACAUUGAUGGAUUCUUUGAUGUUGAACCAUUUCUACAUGUCUGGGAUGAAGCCUACUUGAUCAUG